rnacentral:rRNA from 1 species
GAUGAACGCUGGCGGCGUGCCUAAUACAUGCAAGUCGAGCGAACGGACGAGAAGCUUGCUUCUCUGAUGUUAGCGGCGGACGGGUGAGUAACACGUGGAUAACCUACCUAUAAGACUGGGAUAACUUCGGGAAACCGGAGCUAAUACCGGAUAAUAUUUUGAACCGCAUGGUUCAAAAGUGAAAGACGGUCUUGCUGUCACUUAUAGAUGGAUCCGCGCUGCAUUAGCUAGUUGGUAAGGUAACGGCUUACCAAGGCAACGAUGCAUAGCCGACCUGAGAGGGUGAUCGGCCACACUGGAACUGAGACACGGUCCAGACUCCUACGGGAGGCAGCAGUAGGGAAUCUUCCGCAAUGGGCGAAAGCCUGACGGAGCAACGCCGCUUGAGUGAUGAAGGUCUUCGGAUCGUAAAACUCUGUUAUUAGGGAAGAACAUAUGUGUAAGUAACUGUGCACAUCUUGACGGUACCUAAUCAGAAAGCCACGGCUAACUACGUG